AUAUUCGGGAUGCAUUUCUGAGACAGCUGAAGGAUUAGAAGGGUCUCUAAAGCGACGCCAUGGUUGCUGAUUUUCUACUGGACAGCAACGAGAAGGAAACAUCGACGUCCACACCGUUAAAACACGGGACGCAGAGGCUCGCGUGAGCUGGGGGAUGCCCAAGAAGAGAACCAGGAGGCCGGAUGAUCCACGCCAACAUGUUUACCUUCAACAGCCAUUAUUUUUAUUUCUGUAAUAAAUACAUUUUCUAAUAAAAGUAAAUGUA